UGGGGAAUAUUGCACAAUGGGCGCAAGCCUGAUGCAGCCAUGCCGCGUGUGUGAAGAAAGCCUUCGGGUUGUAAAGCACUUUCAGCGGGGAGGAAGGCGAUAAGGUUAAUAACCUUGUCGAUUGACGUUACCCGCAGAAGAAGCACCGGCUAACUCCGUGCCAGCAGCCGCGGUAAUACGGAGGGUGCAAGCGUUAAUCGGAAUUACUGGGCGUAAAGCGCACGCAGGCGGUCUGUCAAGUCGGAUGUGAAAUCCCCGGGCUCAACCUGGGAACUGCAUUCGAAACUGGCAGGCUAGAGUCUUGUAGAGGGGGGUAGAAUUCCAGGUGUAGCGGUGAAAUGCGUAGAGAUCUGGAGGAAUACCGGUGGCGAAGGCGGCCCCCUGGACAAAGACUGACGCUCAGGUGCGAAAGCGUGGGGAGCAAACAGG
rnacentral:rRNA from 1 species